UGUUUUCAAGGAGUGAAGUACAGUUAGUGCGACGUGGUGAACUUGGUAGUGUGUGACCUCACAGGAAGGCGUUCUUACUGGAAGUUUCUUCAGUUCAAAUUCUGCUGGCUUCUGGAUGGUUCCUCUGGGAUCGGCACCUCAGCGGCUCUCCUGAUGAAGUCAUGCCAGAUACCUUUCCUCUGACUGGGAGGAACCCCAUCUUGGCUCCUGUCUACAGGCAGCUGGGGCAGUACAGCCCAGGGGAUUAGUGGGAUUUGUGCCCAAGCGAGAGAGAUCUGCCCCUGCCUGCAGGUCAGUGACUUCUGAAUGACCUACUGCCCCUAGAGGAACGGCACUGGGCCUCUGCACUGUCCCUUCCUUCUUUCUGCAGAAGCCAGCUCUCUCUCAGUCCUGGGCCGCUGCCUAGAGUUUCUUUGCUCCCUUAGUUUGCGGGGAGAAGGAAGGCGGCAGCUUGCAAGUUAUUCUGGGGAGAAGAGACGCUGGGCCACACAGCCCUUCCGCCAUAGGCAACCGCAGGUGGAAUUUUCCCCGACGUCUGCGCUGUUCUCAAGUUUCCCAACCUGUUCACCCACACUUGGCACUCAGAGAAAAUCCUCAGAGCUGCCAGGCCACCAGUUUAGCCUUGAGGCUGUGACCAAAUAUAUAAGAGGGACCCCUCCCCCGACUGGAUCCGUUUAUUUUCAAAAAAAGGGCUUUCCGCAGAUGUCCCCAUGGAGCCAACAGGAAGGACUGUGGGCAGCGGACUGCUGCAGCCACACACGGGCAGCUGCGGGACCCUCUCCCUGACCCAUUUAAGUCAUGCCGUGAUUGAUGAUUGCAAUGGGAAAGUAGCAACUGCAGAUGGACAGGCAGCGGGACAAGCAAAAAAACAAUAGCGCCUGUUCCUGGCACCUGUCCCUGCCUGAGGUGGAGGAGGCGCUGUUAACUAGUCUGGUGAUGAAAAACAUGGGUUUUGGAGGCAGACGGGCUGAGUUCAGAUCCCACCGACGUCCCUUCCAGACUGGGCAAGGGUCCUGAAGACCAGAGAGGGACAGUGGUGGAUCCAGGAUCACACUCCUGGCUCAGGGCGGAAAGAGGGCUGACGGCAUCAUGCUUCCUGCCUUUUCUCUCUUCGAAGAAUACCUAAGCUCCUGCGUUGCUCCUCAAACUCAGUUUGGGGCUUUACAAGUUAGAGUUGCUGGGGCAAAUUAUGUUCUGCAGUGUUGCUCUGAGAGAGUCCAGUUUUGUUUGGUUUGGGAAUCAGUGCCCUGGUGGGAACACAGAAAACACUAGACUUGGCAGCUGCAGAAAUGGGUUCACAUCUCACCUGCAACGUGUCAAGUCUUUGGUCGUGGGCCAGCCACUGAAGUCUCUGAGACUCAGAACCCACAGCCCUUACCAAGAGAUCUGUCUGCCUAUUUUUGGAUGCACAGCUGGGUGAGAGGCCUCCUGGGUCCCUUGACAUAUGGUACUGGUUCCUACAACUCACUCUGAGACAUCUUCAUGGAUGGAUGUUUAAUUCAUUGUUAAAAGGGGAGAGAAUGCAGGAAUGUCUCAUGCUGCCAUAAUGCUGACAUCACUCCCCCUGAGACUCCGUUUCUCCUCCUGUAAAAUGGUGAUAUAAACUGUGCCUACCUCAAAAUACGUUGGUAAAGAUGAAAUGAGUUAAUAUGAAGAGCUCAGAACAGUGCCAGGCACAUAAUCUUUAAUAAAUGUCACUGUUAUUAGAAUUAAAGGUCAGGUUACAGGGAUUAGGUACUUAGAAACUCUUUCUCUACACCCGGCCAAUUUUGUGCCUCAGUGGCUAGGUUGGUGGCCUUUGUCACGAGAUAAGGGGGUGACAGAGCUGCUGCCGGGUAGAGUGGUGGGAGUUACCCAGGAUUCAUGGGAACAAGAGGGCAUUGAUUUGCAAUGCUGGCGUGAAUUUGGAGUAGGGAUCUGGACGCCUGGACCUUCUCCGUGGCUGGUGGCCAUGAGAGACACAUAUUGCAUCAUUCUUGCUAUUUUUUUGUGUGUGACUGGAGCAGAGCAGAGGCUUUUCUUGGUUCCAAUGGGAGCCCCGGCAAGUCCAAGUGGAGAAGCAGGGCAGCUGUCGGGAGAAUUCAGGCGGGAGCGGGCUCAGCGCCCAGGCCAGCAGCCUGUGACAGGCAGAAAUGCAGUGAGACGUGACAUCUGCCGCCUGACCACAUCCCCACGCCGCCCUCCCUCAUCCAGCUGCUCAAGAGAAGGAAGGAAACCAGGCUUUUCCCACUGCUAUUGUGUACCUGACAGGUUCAUCAAUCUUAUUCGGCUCAUCCUCAUGGCCUCUCAAGCCGGUGAUUAUAUCUCUUCUCUGGCAGAGGAAGAGGAAGAGGAGAUUCAGAAGUGUCCCAGGGCAGAGGGAGGGGCAGAGCCAGUGUUCAAGCCUCGGGCCUCCACUCCAAAGUCCACGUGCCUUCCAUGGCACCAGCUAGUUCUCGCUGGUCCGGCCACCUAUCACCCGGAGAGACUGGCUUAUCUUUAAUCAAUACGUGCAUGGCCAGAGGAGACAAAUAAGUGCAGAGGCACCUGGCUCCUGGCGCUAAUGGCCUAAAGAAAAGAGAAGCUUGAGCCCAAGUCCCCUUCCUGGUUGAGUACUGACCCUGUUUUACCUUCCUGCCCCCUGAGCCCUAGGCAGACCUUUGGCCUGGAGGGGGCACCCUGUCCCGGGGCCAGCCCAACAGGCCUGGCCCCAAAGACAAUAGCUGGAAGGGCCUCUUAGAGCAAGUACUUCCUGAAGUGCCCAGAACAGUCACUGUCCCCACAGCUCAGGAACAAUCACAGCUCAGUCAGCUUCCUGGCUCUUUGCAGGGCCUCCAGCCCUCCAGGCAGAGCCCUUAGGUCUACUGUUUGGGGAGGGACAAGAGGACAGCAAGAGCAGUGCUCCAGAGUCUAGGACAGACCUCGGGAUAUAGACAUUUUUUCUACAUUGAAGCCGGAGGAAAAAUUCCAGGUUCUCUCUUUUCUUUACUAUUCUGGUAAACCAACUGCCUGAUCCUUGAUCUUUGUGCUUCUGUCAUGUCUUUUUGGGAUUUUUAAACAGGGAGAAAAGUGGGGGGUGGGGGAGAAGCCAAAGGAAAAAAUAAAUUCUGGAAUGAAACUAUA